AUACGGAGGGGGCUAGCAUUGUUCGGAAUUACUGGGCGUAAAGAGCAUGUAGGCGGUCUGUUAAGUCUGGUGUGAAAGCCCGGGGCUCAACCCCGGAAGUGCAUUGGAUACUGGCAGACUUGAGUAUGGGAGAGGAAAGCGGAAUUCCGAGUGUAGGAGUGAAAUCCGUAGAUAUUCGGAGGAACACCAGUGGCGAAGGCGGCUUUCUGGACCAAUACUGACGCUGAGAUGCGAAAGCGUGGGGAGCGAACAGGAUUAGAUACCCCAGUAGUCC
rnacentral:rRNA from 1 species